rnacentral:rRNA from 1 species
UACGAAGGGGGCUAGCGUUGCUCGGAAUCACUGGGCGUAAAGGGUGCGUAGGCGGGUUUUUAAGUCAGGGGUGAAAUCCUGGAGCUCAACUCCAGAACUGCCUUUGAUACUGGCGAUCUCGAGUCCGGGAGAGGUGAGUGGAACUGCGAGUGUAGAGGUGAAAUUCGUAGAUAUUCGGAAGAACACCAGUGGCGAAGGCGACUUACUGGACACAUAUUGACGCUGAGGUGCGAAAGCGUGGGGAGCAAACAGG